rnacentral:lncRNA from 1 species
UACGCUUUGAUGGUUCAGUGAUCCGGAGAUCAUCUUGAGCCGUGUUCAUUUAAUGACUGAGUGCAUUGGAGGCCUGAGGGGGUCUCAUGCAUUAAUGAUAGGGUGUGCCGAAUACCUGCGAAGAUCUUAUGCCUUGAUGGCUUGGAGAUAGUGGCAGGUUAUAGUGGAGUUGUCAGGUCCUUUAGAGGGUUUGGUGGAAAUUGGAUAUUUGGCUAAGGCAUGGGCUCGGCCUUCUGGUCUCGGCCUUCUGGUCUCGGCCUUCUGGUCUCGGCUCUCUGGUCUCGGCCUUCUGGUCUCGGCUCUCUGGUCUCGGCUCUCUGGU